GCGGAGCCUUUUCAUAGGCUGAUGACCUCUCACUAGAAAUAAUAUCACCCUGGAUGCCUCUUGAGACAGUUACAGAAUUAUGAAGUGAAUGAUUGAUCUUUGACAUUUGAGACUUCUGAAUUGCAGAAUUCAAGAGUUGACAUUUUUCCAGCAGUUUCUCCUUCUUCACACGCCUCAAGUGGAACUUUGCUUUCUCAUGUACAAGCUGACAUAAUAACAUUAUUGCUUCAACAGCUCUUUUCUCCUGAAAAUUGGAAACUGACGCUU
rnacentral:misc_RNA from 1 species